AGCAGGCCCUUUCGGGGCUGGAAUCAGCCCGGGCGGCUUGGUCACGAGCGUGCCAGCCAGCUGGGCGACAGCAAUUUCUUCCAUUGUGGUUGACCAGACCAGGAAAACUUCUCUGGGCCGCUUGUGUUAAUAAAUAGGUUGUUAAUGAUUGAUGGUGCGGGGGAGGGAGUGGUGGUGGCUUUUAUGUGCCCCAAUGAAAAGCAGAACCAUGGCCGUGACUUUGGAGCUGAUGACUGCACCAGCACUUGUUCCCUAGCAGAAGACGGAAUUUUAAAACAUUCAUGUUAGCUGGGCUCGAGCUGGGCUCCACAACAGCUCGUGGAGGAAUGAAACGAUCUUGUCUGGUGUUCGCCUGCCUUUGUUCUUUCAGUCAGACAUUAAAAAUACAGCAAGCUAAAAGGAGAAAAUAAAUUUCAAAGAUCCUUCUAGAUGGCAGGCGCAAAGAGGAGGACCGGAUCUGAGGGAGUGUCGGUGCAAACAUCUUUUUGAGAUGUGCAAUGCCGUUGCGUGCAAAACAACAUACGACAAGCCUAAACUGGAGUCCUCUGGAGUCCUCGUGGGAAGCUGGAACGUGUGCAGAGACUUCAACAAGUGUGUGGGGAAGUGGAGGCUGCAAAUCUCACAAAAAUAAUCCCGACGAAGCCAGUCUUCCCACAUCAGAAGCUGAUUCCGGGGACGCUUUGCCAGGCUGGCAGAGGCUGAAGGGCUGCGGCGUGGGAAGGCGAUUAUCUAUUCACACAACGCUCCCCUGAACAAUCUGGGAAGAGAAGCCUCAAAGACACACUUGAAAGCACCAGCUUGAGGGGCAAGUGGCACUCGGUUUCACAGCACUAACGAGUACCGAUUCACAGCAGGGCACCGCCCAGGCUCUCAGCUCCUGCACCUGCCCCGGCUCUGCCCCUGUCCCCAGCCCUUCUCCAGGGGGAUCAGCGCAGGAGCUGUUCCCUGGGGACUGCCAGCCUCCAUGUGCCAAGCUCUGGGCCACAUCAGGGCAGAAUUUGACAUUUGGAAACCAAAAGAUGCUGCUUUGAGAUUUGAUCCUAGGAACUCUCUACCUUCAACGUCCAAGUUCUUUCCUCUAAGGAGUCCUCCAGGGGGUGGUGUGUUGGCGCAUUGGUGAAGUUGCAGCUUGGGGCACCUGCUUCCCGUACCAGGGCACCUGGGGUGCAGUCUCAGCUCUGCCCGCAUUCUGGCUUCCUGCUAAUGUGCACUCCAGGACGCACCGGUCCCUGCCACCCACUUGGGAGACCCACAUGGAGUUCUGGCCUCCCCGCCAGAACUGGCUGCUGUGGGCAUGGAUGGGAGAUCCAUCUCUGUAUCUCUCUAUUAAAAUAAAUAGAUAAUUGAGGGGCGAAUCCUCCUAGUCUUCCAAUUGUUUAGGGAAAAAGAAGUUGAAAUCUGUAAGGCGCUAAGACCUCAACUCCCCUUCCCUUUCCUAGCCCUGCCGGGGUCUCUGCUCCCAUAUGAACAGCACUGUCAAUCAUUCCUGGGACACGCCCUCUUGGUGGGCCCUUCUCCCUCUCCAGUCCUGCCCUGGGAACCACCCUUCUGUCUUCACGUGGUGGUGGCUGGGGGCACCGUGCCUGGGACUGUGGCUGAGCACAUACCUGUCUCUUCCAGCCCACCGAGCACACCUGAGCCACCCCACUUUCCCUUGCUGUUCUUGGCCCAGCAGAAUCGGGUUGGUUCCAGCCUGGGUCCAGUAUUGGGCGGGGAUCCGAGUCUCCCUGGCCCCCUUUCCUCGCUGUGGUGGUGCUAACAGUCCUCGUCCCUCUCUCGGCGAUUUCCUUGGUGGGAACGGUGAGGGGGUCAAUUAGAAACAGUGCUUCCGAUUUAUAAAAGACAUUUUGUUAUUAUAAAUAUUUACGUGUUCUGAUUUUCCUCCAGUACA